rnacentral:rRNA from 1 species
CGAAUAAGACCACGCUUGGUUCGCCAAGUGCGGUAAAAGGCGGCCUCUUCUUGAAAGCUGUCACUUGAGGAUGAGCCCGCGGCCUAUUAGCUAGUUGGUGGGGUAAUGGCCUACCAAGGCGACGAUGGGUAGCCGGCCUGAGAGGGUGUACGGCCACACUGGCACUGAGAUACGGGCCAGACUCCUACGGGAGGCAGCAGUGGGGAAUUUUGCGCAAUGGGGGAAACCCUGACGCAGCAACGCCGCGUGAGUGAUGAAGGCCUUCGGGUCGUAAAGCUCUUUUAGUGGGGAAGAAUCCCACCCGGGCUAAUACCUCGGGUGUCUGACGGUACCCACAGAAAAAGUUCCGGCUAACUACGUGCCAGCAGCCGCGGUAAUACGUAGGGAGCAAGCGUUGUUCGGAAUUAUUGGGCGUAAAGAGCGCGUAGGCGGUUCGGUAAGUCUGACGUGAAAUCCCAGAGCUUAACUCUGGAACUGCGUUGGAUACUGCCGAGCUUGAA